rnacentral:rRNA from 1 species
CCUACGGGAGACAGCAGUGGGGAAUAUUGCACAAUGGAGGCAACUCUGAUGCAGCGACGCCGCGUGCGUGAAGACGGCUCUCUGUAUGGUAAGCUGCAUCAGCACGGGGGAAAACGACGAUACGUGAUUAUGACUCCACGGCUAACUACGUUACAGCAGCCGCGGUAAUACGGAGGCGGCAGGCGUUAUCCGGAUUUAUUGGGUGUAAUGGGUGCGUAGGCGGUCGGAUAAGUUAGAAGUGAAAUGCCGAGGCUUAACGUCGGAACUGCCUCUGAAACUGUGCGGCUAGAGAGUAGUUGCGGUAGGCGGAAUGUAUGGUGUAGCGGUGAAAUGCGUAGAGAUCAUACAGAACACCGAUGGCGAAGGCAGCUUACCAAGCUACUUCUGACGUUGAGGCACGAAAGCGUGGGGAGCAAACAGGAUUAGAUACCCCUGUAGUC